UACGUAGGGUGCAAGCGUUGUCCGGAAUUAUUGGGCGUAAAGAGCUCGUAGGCGGUCUGUCGCGUCGGAUGUGAAAAUCCAGGGCUCAACCCUGGACCUGCAUUCGAUACGGGCAGACUAGAGUUCGGCAGGGGAGACUGGAAUUCCUGGUGUAGCGGUGAAAUGCGCAGAUAUCAGGAGGAACACCGGUGGCGAAGGCGGGUCUCGUGGGCCGAUACUGACGUGGAGGAGCGAA
rnacentral:rRNA from 1 species